rnacentral:rRNA from 1 species
UACGGAGGGUGCGAGCGUUAUCCGGAUUCACUGGGUUUAAAGGGUGCGUAGGUGGGCUUGUAAGUCAGUGGUGAAAUCUCCGUGCUUAACAUGGAAACUGCCAUUGAUACUAUAGGUCUUGAAUUUUCCGGAGGUCAGCGGAAUAUGUCAUGUAGCGGUGAAAUGCUUAGAUAUGACAUAGAACACCAAUUGCGAAGGCAGCUGGCUACAGGGAUAUUGACACUGAGGCACGAAAGCGUGGGGAUCAAACAGG